UCCGGUUGAUCCCGCCGGAAGUCACUGCUAUUGGGAUUCGACUAAGCCAUGCGAGUCGUGAGGGUUCGGCCCUCGGCAGACGGCUCAGUAACACGUAGAUAAUUUGCCCUUAGGUGGAGGAUACCCUCGGGAAACUGAGAAUAAUACUCCAUAGAUCUAAACUGCUGGAAUGCUUUUAGAUUGAAAGAUUUAUCGCCUAAGGAUAAGUCUGCGGACUAUCAGGUUGUAGUUAGGGUAAAUACCUGACUAGCCUACGACGGAUACGGGUAGUGAGAGCUUUAGCCCGGAGAUGAUAUCUGAGACACGAUAUCAGGCCCUACGGGGCGCAGCAGGCGCGAAAACUUCGCACUGUGCGAAAGCACGACGAGGGAAUCCCAAGUGCUGGCUCGUAAGAGUCAGCUGUUUCUCUGUCUAAAAGACAGGGAGAGUAAGAGCUGGGUAAGACGGGUGCCAGCCGCCGCGGUAAUACCUGCAGCUCAAGUGGUGGCCGCUAUUAUUGGGCCUAAAACGUCCGUAGCCGGUUUCAUAAAUGCCUGGGUAAAUCAUACGGCUUAACCGUAUGAAUUCCGGGUAGACUGUUUAACUUGAGACCGGGAGAGGCUAGAGGUACUCCUGGGGUAGAGGUGAAAUUCUGUAAUCCUAGGGGGACCACCAGUGGCGAAGGCGUCUAGCUAGAACGGGUCUGACGGUGAGGGACGAAGCCCUGGGGAGCAAACGGGAUUAGAUACCCCGGUAGUCCAGGGUGUAAACGCUGCUCGCUUGAUGUUAGUCGGGCUCCGAGCCUCAACUAGUGUCGGAGAGAAGUUGUUAAGCGAGCUGCCUGGGGAGUACGGUCGCAAGACUGAAACUUAAAGGAAU
rnacentral:rRNA from 1 species